UGGGAAAUAGCUCAGUGGUAGAGCGCAUGCUUAGCAUGCACAAGGUCCUGGGUUCAAUCCCCAGUAUCUCCA
rnacentral:tRNA from 1 species